CGUCCAUAUUAAAAUAUUUUUUUUCUCUCUCUGUUGAGGCAUAUGAUAGAAAGAUUUCAUAUUGAAUGUAUCAAAUUUUGGGUCCGACGGCCGUGAACUUUUUUACUCUUUAAACUUCGGGAACCACGUAAAAGGAUCAAUAUAUGAAUCUGUUAUUUUUCUCUACUGUUGAAGCAUAUGAUAAAAAGAUCAUAACAUGUCAUUUUUCAUAUCGCAUGUAUUAUCAGCCCUCGAGCCAUGCGGCUCUUGGGCUGAUAUUGAAC
rnacentral:lncRNA from 1 species